rnacentral:lncRNA from 1 species
UAUUAUUUAUUGUUGUUGUAUUAGUUUCAGGGGGUGGAUUAGGCGGCUCACCGGGAGAAUCGCGGCAUGACUACGAGUCCGGUCCCGUGAACAAAAGGCCGCGCGACGCCUGGGCCACAUAGCCACUACAUCACUCUCUGCUUCCCAACGGAGAGGCAGAGAGCAAUAGAGGCCAGUAGCUCAUGGGGUCGUCGUGGUUUUGGGGCGAUCGGAGCCGCAACACACCCUCCUAUCACCCCUAAUCGAAUCCACUCACUGUCUGUGCCAUAUCAGUGCAUUGUGUAUGAACAUUGUCCACACGUGUCCACACGUGUCCACACGUGUCCACACUGUGCAGUCAUAUCUCGAAUAGCAGCCAUAUCAAGCCUCACCGACGCUAAUCACUGGCUCACUGGCUCCAGUCGAUUUCAGCAUCCACGCCAUGCUGCAAAACCCAACAUCUUCUCAGAUAACAUUUGUAUAGUUUUAGAUGGAUGUUAUACAUGUAAAAACAAGUUAGCUGUAACAAAUUUUAGCGGUACAAUAAGUGAAGUGCCCCCCGUUCCCUCACUCCCUACAAAGUAGGAGGCUGAAGCUGCCUUCGCCGCCCUGUCUCCGCCCAGUGUGUCAUCAGCCACAUUACCACCCACCAACAACCACAUCAUUUACAUAUACAUUACAUUCAAACACUCAGCAUUUUUAUAAGACAAAGAGUAUUUUGUAUACGUAUAUAUAUCUAUUUUAAAAUAGUUUUUAAAUGAUUAUCGGUUGAACGCUGCAACUAACAAGUUUAUGGAGACUUUUUAACAUCGGAUUAUUAUUCAUGUACAAUAUUCAGAUAAUAUCGAGUCUAUUUUUAUAAAAAUUUAACAGUGGUGUGAAGUGGCGAGGCGAGGGGCAAGAGGUGGGGCAGCAGCUUCAUCCCAUGUGAUCAUGUUUUCAGUUGUGCCUGACGUCCCUAUUAGUUUGUCCGAGCCGUAGCAUAUUGUAAAUAGUCGAUGUAAUAGACGUGUCAUGUCAGAUGUGUUGCUUGCAAAUCCUCGUGUCUUGUAGCCUUAUUCAGUGCCUCGUCCUUCUAAGGCUUUGACAUUUUGACGCAAAUUCAUUUUGCAAACACACAAACACAUCUCGCCUAAUUUCACAAUUGAAAUUCGGAAGCUGAUGUUAUUAUAUUUUUGUUGCCUUCUGUUAUAUUGACGUAAGUGCCGAACAAUAUUAUUGGUACCGUACCAAAGCUGUUUCAACCAAAACUAGGGAUUGUGCUGUAACAGAUUGUUUGUUGUUGGUCAAGGGUUUGAAUUAGUUCAAUUCCUGCCAUACUACUGAGUCAUAUCUUACAUAAUUGUUUAGUGAGAUAAAAAUCAAAAUAUGCGAAUUAUUUAGGAACGAAUUAUCCAGUAGGUGUAAGGUUCAUCGUAGGAUGAUUAGACACAGCAUUUAGUCUUGUUAUAAACGUACUGAUGUUAUUAAUUUCCCUUGAGACACCAUGAAUAAAGUGUGUAUAUUUAAAGUUUUUUGAUAGAGUUCAUGUGUGUCUAUUAUGUGACUCAAAUUUAAAAAGUAAUGAACUAACUACGAUAAAUAAUUUUAUCUGAAGUAUAACGAAAUUGCAUGGAAUAUGAGUCCAUAGACCAUAUCGCCAGUGGUUGUUAGAAUGUCAAUGCCUUAUAAAACUCUUUCUCUCACUCACUAUCUGUGCCUUCUCCCUCACGCAGUGAUCAACAAUCAUCAUCAUCAUCGUCAUCAACCUGCCGGUUCAGUGAUAAGUGUGUUUUGUAAUUUCCCAGUGUGUAGUGUUAUUCCGAGCACAAACUUUGUUUUGUCUUCCAAAGCCAGAAUUGUUUCUUCCCACAUUGAUUAGCACAGUGCAUUUUAAUUUUUCACACGUUAUUCACAUACUCAUCAUAGAAAUUAUAAACUGAUAAUUUUCAAACAAGUACCCAUUUUAUCAUUAAAUUAAUGCGUGGGUCAAAAAUACUAUUGGAAAUUCCAUGAGUACAGGAUUGGAAUUGAACUCAUUGAUAUUUAGGAGUUUUGUCUUAAAUUCAGAGAUUUCGUCUUUCAACUCCUUUCGAGAACUCCAACCUCAUCUGAAUAACUCAAAAGGUUUCAGAUUAAAAAAUUAUCAAAGUAGAACUUUGAAUUUUCUUACUUACAGUAUUAUUGCCUUAUUAAAAUUUUAAAUAUAACUUUUCCAUUGAUGGAACAAUAUAAAUUAUUGGGGCACCGAGCUUCGCUCCGGAGUACAGAAGCAUAGAAGCAUAAAAGCAUAUGUUAUAUUUAUUUAUUGAUAAGCAUAACACAGUUCUUUAAAAAUGAUUGGAGAAGGACCAACAGGCUUUCUUCCCCGAAUUUUGAUGUAUACACUGUAAAUACGGUAGUCCAAAAAGUAGGUUAUGUUCCAUACACUUUUGAAUUCCAUUUUUCAGUCCAAACAUUCGAAAACAGAAAAGUUCAAAUUUAAAUUUAAACUAAACUUAAUAACAAUAACUUGGACACAAACAAAAUUUAAUAACAAAAUAACACUCACUAAUCAAAACUGUAAAAUAAUGAUGGAUUUUUAAAUUUUUGAUAUAGUUAGGUAGCCUAAUUUAAUUUAAAUAAAAAAAUAAUUGAUCUUGAAUAAAAUCUUAUAAUUUCCAGAAUAUACUUCUCGUGCUGGUUGAUUGCAAUAGUUCAACAGCUGAACAUAAUUCUGUCUCACUCCCACACAGGCACUCGCAUCUUUCGUUAUCGACAGACGACGAAAUUAUCAGCUGUUUUUCCAAGGAUGAAUAAUUAUUAUCCUUUUCAUGUCCUUAAGCGAGUUUUCCCAUGGAUGAGACCUAGUGCAAUCGAGUUUUUAUAUCAUAAACCUACUAUGUUCCAAAUUUGGUGAAAAUCUUUAGAACCGUUAUCGAGAUCCGUUGGACAUAAAUACUGAAAUAAAAAACCAAAUAUAUAAAUACAUACAGAAAUUUCUCGCUUAAUAUAAUAGGAUAGGAUUACAAGUCCUAAAAGAAAUGAAUGAUAAAAAACUUCCUAAUAAAUAAUAAUAAUUCAUUUUCCAAAAUAUAUAACACACACAGUAAUACACAAAAUGAAAUUUAUAUAAGAAAAAUAAUACAGAAAAUUAUUUAUAUAAUAAAUGAUUACAGAUAAAUAAUACAGAAAAAGUAAAGUAAUAAUAUAUAAAUAAAAUAUAGUAAAAAUAAGAUAAAAAAAAUAAAAAUAAAGUAAUAAUACAGAAAAAAUUAAGAUACAGAAAAAUAAUAAACUUCACAGCACAUUACCUAGUUGCCCUGAGGUUAGAAGCCUGCUUUGGGUCAACCAUCAAAACCCAUAACCAUUUUAAAUAAAAACAGAGAUGGCUUUCUAGUCACUGUACUCCGCAGUAACAAAGACAUUACAAAGUUUAUAUUAUAUAAGCAUGAUAAAAAACUUUAUCCUUCUACUAAUGGGUACUCUGUUUGAAAUAUCAGGUAUUGCUUGCAUUGUGUGCCCUUUUCCGAAUUUCACAUUGUCAUGUCUUUUUUGUAAUAUUGCUAAUUUUUCAAUGUGUACCUUCUAAACAGUGAUCUUUAAAAAUGAUUGAAUGCGUUCUAUCGAAAAGAUGAAAAUAAUGAUGGCCGCCAACUGCUUACAGAGGAACUAUUAACUAUUAAUUCAAAUCUCCAUCUGAGGAUGAAGUGAAUUAUUUUUUGAAAAAAUUACCAGUUGAUCAACGUCCAAUUUAGUCAUGCCGUUCUAAGACAGAGAUCAAACUCUGACGACCAAACAAAUUUCAAAUUAAUCUUUUCUAGUCGAAAAAAAUAUUUCUUCCAUCAUCAAAAUGAUGGGAGUAAAUUGGAAUAUUUUCAGAAACAGUUUCUAAAACUUAUAUAUUCAGAUAAUAUAUUACAUAUAAUUUAGUACGUAUGUAUAAAUAAAUUGAAAGAUUUUUAUAAAGUAAUUGAUAAUUUUGAAAACGUAUUAAAUUGAAGGUAUAGUUUAGUAUGUCACAUGCUUUAAGAAUUGCCUUAAACGUAUUGUUAAAAAAGAGAAAUGAACAGAAGAAACGUAAAAAUUAAUAUAGAAUUUAAAAUUUAGAGAUUGCUCAAAUGGUAUCACAUGUGUUUUCCUCACCACAAUUGUAAAGUACUUAACGUUUGUCAAAUGGUAGCUGACGCUGAUAGUGCAGUGCAUAGAGCAGAAGCUAUCAUGACCAGCUCUCACAAAGUGAGGGAGACACCAUACGCCAUACAUCAUAGACCAUAAACCAUAAAUCGCCGAUUUGUCUGUAUGCUCUUUCAUCCGUUGUUCUGUUUACCUGCAAAUGUUGAUCCAGUUGAAAUUCUCGUACACGUAAUUGAUGUCUUGAAUGUAUUUUUGCAAGCAGCUGUGUUCCUGGAAGGUUAUGAAUGGUGCUAUAAUGUUAGAUGAAUGUUGUUAUAAAGUAGCUAAGUUGAAUUGAAAAUGAGAGAAUGUUCUACCGAUGUUAACAAUGUUGAUUGUUUCUAUGUUGUAAUGAUAGUAAUACAUCGCUGUUAUGACAAAAGUGUAAUAAAUGUUUUGUAAUAGAUCGGUGAUAUCGAUGUUGUGUGCAACUGUGAUGUCGUAUAUAAUGACGCACGAAUAUCUAUAUUUAUAUGUACUGUGUAACCAACCGAUGAUCAUGAAUAUAAAUGGAUAUAUAUGUACAUUUAUUGAAUUUCAUACAGGGUCUCGUUGAAUAAACAACAUUUAAAUAGUCUUGGAUUAUAAUAUUUCAACCGUUUAGCCUUACUUUCACUGUAAUUGACUGAAAGAGCUUUUUCCUCUACACGUUGAUUAAAGAAAGCUAUCAAGCUCAGAAUGGGAUCGCUCAAUCAAACCUAUAAACCAUAGAACAAAUCAAAUAGAGUUGAACCGAUUCAAGUUACUGGUCAACGUUUCACCACUGCAUUUGGUUCACACUCUACAGUGUUUUUGUUAUUGAAAGUGAUAUACUUGCAUGCUUUAUCACGUGAUUAGAUGUUGAUGUCAUUUAUUUCCCAAAACUUGUCUGACUCACUUAUGUGCCCCUCACAUUGUACCAAGUGGCACAAUUGUCAGUGUUGGAAACAUUUGUAACUGCAUGAUUUCGUCUAUUUUUGUACCUAAUUUCUUUAAUUUUGUACAGAGAGUUUUCUUUAUCGAGUAUAAUCAACACGUAGAAACAUUUUUGUAUUGAGAGAUUGAUUUGUUUGUUUAACGAGUUGUGUUUGAUGUAUUAUUUAAUGAAAAAAUGUGCCAUCUGUAUUUAUUGAGUGUCAUUCAUCCUCUGUUUUCGUAGCCAUGUGGCUAUCACUUGGGUUCUCUUGAUUGUAAGAGAAUUAAAAGUGGAGAUUCAACAAUUUAAGUAUUAUUCUCAAGUAUAUUAUUUGUAUUUGUUAAUAACUACCGUACCAAAAAUUUGUAUCUGAUGUACUGGCAUUUCAUAUUGCAUACUCUAAUAAUUUUAAUGUUAUUUUAAAAUCAGAACUUAUCAGAACUCUGAUUUUUGUUAAUGAACGUUCAUAUUUUAUCUAUUGAUGUUUGAAUUUAUUUCUGUGCAAUCUGAACAUUUUAACCAAUAGUUUAUAUUUUUAUUAGAAUUUACUGAAUAAAGUUUUAUCCCCUACAGUAGCAAAAAAUCAAAUGCUUUUAUAAAUAAGUAUUGAGAAAAUUCAUUUUUAGUUGUUUUAUACAGGAUUAUCGAAAGAAUUAUUUAUACUUUCUGUUAUUGAUUAUGUAGGUAAUUAUUGUGAUGCCUCAUUUUCGAUUUAUAUUGACCUCCCGAUUCUAGUAUCAGUUGGAGUUGAGUGUUUUCAAAGUCAAGUUAUGAGUUUUCGUAGGCUAUAUUUUAUGCUUUGAGAUUAACAGACUUUAAUUUUUGUGUCAUAUCCAAUUUGUAGCCUUAUAUUAUUAUUGUUGAAUUUUACCUUUAUUAGUCAUCUCAGAACUGUGAACUCAGUUGCUAAUGAAUGAUAACUGUUUAUUCAAAUAUUAAUUAUAAAUAUAUAUGUAUAUUGUCAACAAACAAAAGAAUAGAUGUAUAUAGAUAAUGAUGGAAUAUAUUAUACGUAUAAUAAUUGUAAUAUUGAUUUGUUGCAUGGAUGACAUUCUCUGUUAGUAUGAACACAGAGUUCUGUCAUGGCUGAAAGUGCAAUACAGUCUUAGAAGAAAAUCUGUUGAAUACAUUCUUUUAGAUGGUUUAAAUACGAAAAAAUUUAGACAAUUAUUUGUUACAUAUGUUUGAAAGGAUAAAUUUAAGGAAUUUAAUAAAAUUAAGUUAUAACAA